rnacentral:rRNA from 1 species
GACGAACGCUGGCGGCGUGCUUAACACAUGCAAGUCGAGCGGUAAGGCCCUUUCGGGGGUACACGAGCGGCGAACGGGUGAGUAACACGUGGGUGACCUGCCCUCAGCUCUGGGAUAAGCCUGGGAAACUGGGUCUAAUACCGGAUAUGACUCCAUGACGCAUGUUGUGGGGUGGAAAGCCUUGUGCGGCUGAGGAGUGGGCCCGCCGGCCUAUCAGCUUGUUGGUGGGGNGAUGGCCUACCAAGGCGACGACGGGUAGCCGGCCUGAGAGGGC